UACGGAGGGAGCUAGCGUUGUUCGGAAUUACUGGGCGUAAAGAGCUUGUAGGCGGUUUGUCGCGUCUGCUGUGAAAAUCCGGGGCUCAACCCCGGACUUGCAGUGGGUACGGGCAGGCUAGAGUGUGGUAGGGGAGACUGGAAUUCCUGGUGUAGCGGUGGAAUGCGCAGAUAUCAGGAGGAACACCGAUGGCGAAGGCAGGUCUCUGGGCCACUACUGACGCUGAGAAGCGAAAGCAUGGGGAGCGAACAGG
rnacentral:rRNA from 1 species